rnacentral:rRNA from 1 species
ACGAACGCUGGCGGCGUGCCUAAUACAUGCAAGUUGAGCGCUGAAGGUUGGUACUUGUACCAACUGGAUGAGCAGCGAACGGGUGAGUAACGCGUGGGGAAUCUGCCUUUGAGCGGGGGACAACAUUUGGAAACGAAUGCUAAUACCGCAUAAAAACUUUAAACACAAGUUUUAAGUUUGAAAGAUGCAAUUGCAUCACUCAAAGAUGAUCCCGCGUUGUAUUAGCUAGUUGGUGAGGUAAAGGCUCACCAAGGCGAUGAUACAUAGCCGACCUGAGAGGGUGAUCGGCCACAUUGGGACUGAGACACGGCCCAAACUCCUACGGGAGGCAGCAGUAGGGAAUCUUCGGCAAUGGACGAAAGUCUGACCGAGCAACGCCGCGGGAGGGAAGAUGGGUUUCGGAUCGUAAAACUCUGUUGGUAGAGAAGAACGUUGGUGAGAGUGGAAAGCUCAUCAAGUGACGGUAACUACACAGAAAGGGACGGCUAACUACGUG